rnacentral:RNase_P_RNA from 1 species
CGAGCAGCACAGAUGGCCGCGCCGAAAGGUGAGGAAAGUCCGGGCUUCACAGGGCAGGGUGCCGGAUAACGUCCGGUGGGGGCGACCCCAAGGCCAGUGCAACAGAAAAGAAACCGCCGGAAUGAAGCGCAGCCGCGGCAGAGCGGGCAUUCCGGUAAGGGUGGAAUGGCGGUGUAAGAGACCACCGCUUUCCUGGUAACAGGGAAGGCUGUGUAAACCCCACUCGAAGCAAGACCAAAAGAUACCUCAGGGUAGGGGGAGCGAUACGGCGGCCCGUCGUGCUUCCCGGUAGGUCGCGUUCUGCCGCAGGGCAGAGGAGCUGCGCGGUGACGCGCAGUCAAGAAAGAUGGUCAUCGAAUACAGAACCCGGCUUAUAGUGCUGCUCGCACU